rnacentral:tRNA from 1 species
UGAUAAUUAGUUUAAACUAAAACAAGUGAUUUCGACUCACUAGACUAUGUGCUAACAUAAUUAUCAA